rnacentral:tRNA from 1 species
GACAACGUGGCCGAGCGGUUAAGGCGAUUGACUAGAACAAAGUUCCAAGACUGUUUCCAUUGGUCUACCAUCAAUUGGGAUAUUCCCGCGUAGGUUCAAAUCCUGCCGUUGUCG